CUCUCAAUAGCUCAGCUGGAAGAGCGCAAGACUGUAACUGCGUCACAACACACUGUCAUCUUGAGGUAAGCAAAUACCAUAUUUUCAAAAAAUACCUCUAGGAAACCUAGGCUUACCAGUCGCCGCCUAAAAGGCCCGCGGUUCGAUCCCGCGUUGGGAGA